GGGUAUUUAAUAAUGAGCGCGAAGAGCAGGGCCACACAGAUAAUACAAUGGCUGAAGGAGCACCUGAAAGCGCGUCGCCAUCAGAGCUACCAACGGUAGACACCGAAGAGGGGAAACAGCUGCAGGCAAAAUUCCAGCUACUUUUUUACGCCUGCCGACACGAGUCUGCCAGUCGGGAGGAAUUGGCAGCAGAGGCCUUGAAGUCGGCCACAUGGGCACUAGACAUCAUAGCCAGGUUGGAGAGGCAGAACAUAGCUGCCGAACAGCGAAGUCGACAUUUGCAGGAGCGACUCCUAAAUCUUCAGCACAAACUAGACCGUGGCUUUGCAGCUUGAUGAUCGCAGAAUGGCGACCAUGACGCAUGCAAAUGUGGAAGAAGGAGAUGCAAGCACAGACAGCGAGUCUACUUAGCACCAAGUGCCAGACUGAGGAAGGGGCGAAAAUACAAGUAGUCACUUUAUUCCUAUUUGGUGAAGCCGCAGCACAUUGUGUUCAUGACAAUAAAAUAGCAUUUGCUCCAC